ACCUGGCGGUCGUUUGUUGGCCGUCCAGGGGUGUUGCGUUUCGGUGGAUCCUUGCCGCCCGAGCUGCUGACCGCCUAAGUCAUUGCUUGAAAGCAGCCCCAUGGAGGGUGAUAGGCCCGUGUGGCGGCGCCUGUAAAAAGGGUGAAGGCGGCCCGGGCGGACGGAUGUUGACCGUAGAGUCGGGUUGCUUAGUAGUGCAGCCCUAAGUAGGUGGUAAACUCCAUCUAAGGCUAAAUACUACCACGAGUCCGAUAGAGAACAAGUACCGUGAGGGAAAGCUGAAAAGGACUUUGAAGAGAGAGUUCAAGAGGACGUGAAACCGUUAGAAGCUUAAACGGGUGGAACGGCGAAGGUGGAGUGAGGGGAUUCAGGUCGUGGGCUUUGGGAGGUUGGUGGGUGUCUGUGAGAUGUUUUGAUGAGAGGACCUGGCAUAAACUGGUAUUGCCUGGGCCGCACCCACCCCUCUCUUUAGCCGGCGGGCUUACUUCUCCCUCUGUUUUGUCGCCGCCAGCCGCUGGGGGGACCCCUAGGGCCGUCUGCGAUUGGUAGCCCGGAC
rnacentral:rRNA from 1 species